UUUUUUUUUUUUUUUUUUUUUACAAACUUAGUCAUAAAAGACAGGUUAACCCUACAGAGCUUAAUGCUCCAUUUACAGGGUCCCUAAUAAUAUGUACAUAUGUAUAUAUAAAAAACAAACAAAAAAACCCAACAUUACAUUAUUUACAACACAUUUUAUCCACAAGACUGGACAACGGACGACACGAGUGACACAAUUUUUCCCAAUACGUGGUGUAUUUGAACGGGAAUUACAAAUAUAUGUAGGGAAUUUGACCUGACCAAAACGUCAAAAUCCAAAUUCCCGGGGGUAUGCCCGGGGGGGGGGGUGUCAAGGUUUCGAUUUGAUUCGCGCAU